GAUGAACGCUGGCGGCGUGCCUAAUACAUGCAUGUCGAGCGAACGGACGAGAAUCUUGCUUCUCUGUUGUUAUCGGCGGACGGGUGAGUAAAACGUGGAUAACCUACCUAUAAGACUGUGAUAACUUCUGGAAACCGGAGCUAAUACCGGAUGAUAUUUUGAACCUCAUGUUUCAAAAUUGAAAGACGGUCUUGCUGUCACUUAUAUAUGUAUCCGCGCUGCAUUAGCUAGUUGGUAAGGUAACGGCUUACCAAGGCAACGAUGCAUAGCCGACCUGAGAGGGUGAUCGGCCACACUGGAACUGAGACACGGCCCAGACUCCUACGGGAGGCAGCAGUAGGGAAUCUUCCGCAAAGGGCGAAAGCCUGACGGAGCAAAGCCGCGUGAGUGAAGAAGGUUUUCGGAUCGUAAAACUCUGUUGUAAGGGAAGAACAUAUGUGUAAGUAACUGUGCACAUCUUGACGGUACCUAAUCAGAAAGCCACGGCUAACUACGUG
rnacentral:rRNA from 1 species